GAUACAGCCCAUGGUUUUCUCUUGGAAUGUGGUGCCAGGUCAGGCAUGGCUCUUUUCUCCAGUGUACGGCAUGGCAACAGCAAAGGCACCCCUGUCAAGCUUUCCAUCAGGGGAUGGCAAUGCUCCACACUCUUCUAGGGGAUUCCAUGAUCACUUAGAGAUGAGCAACUCAGGUUCCAGUAUAUCACCAGGUAAAAAGCCACCUGCUGAACUUAAACUGUCAACAUUUGCAAGGUGUCCGCCUUAUUUUCAGAGUUUACAGUCUGUGGGAGCUUAGCUACAGAGGCCCUGUUGGCACAGACACCACUGGGAUCCUGAGAUCUGAGUAGAGGAAGAGCCGGGCUGUUGGUAGAUUUUAAGUUCCGCUGAGGAGAGCCCUAUAUGCAGAGGAAAAUACCAUCUGUGAAGACACCGAUUCCAAGAGUCUGAAAGG
rnacentral:lncRNA from 1 species